rnacentral:rRNA from 1 species
GAUGAACGCUGGCGGCGUGCCUAAUACAUGCAAGUCGAGCGAACGGACGAGAAGCUUGCUUCUCUGAUGUUAGCGGCGGACGGGUGAGUAACACGUGGAUACCCUACCUAUAAGACUGGGAUAACUUCGGGAAACCGGAGCUAAUCCCGGAUAAUAUUUUGAACCGCAUGGUUCAAAAGUGAAAGACGGUCUUGCUGUCACUUAUAGAUGGAUCCGCGCUGCAUUAGCUAGUUGGUAAGGUAACGGCUUACCAAGGCAACGAUGCAUAGCCGACCUGAGAGGGGGAUCGGCCACACGGGAGCUGGAACGCGGACCAGACGCCUGCGGGAGGCAGCAGUAGGGAAUCGGCCGCAAUGGGCGAAAGCCUGACGGAGCAACGCCGCGUGAGUGAUGAAGGUCUUCGGAUCGUAAAGCUCUGUUAUUAGGGAAGAACAUAUGUGUAAGUAACUGUGCACAGCUUGACGGUACCGAAUCAGAAAGCCACGGCUAACUACGUG